AGCCGGUUGUUGGGAUCCUCGUUAAUGACAGCGUUGCAGCGGAUCUGCUUGGCUCUGUCCGCGUACCUGUUUCAGAGAUGACACCAGAUUUAUCACCAAUCCAGCAUUUAUAGAGCAGCUUGGAUGGCAGCUUCUGUUUCAAUCUACAAGUGUAGAGCUACAGGAUCUACAGACCCAUCUGUAGCAACAUCCGUAGAAAUGGAACAACCCAUCCAUCUGCACCCACUAUCAGACCUCACUACAACUCCCAUAAUCCACCUGGUUUCACUGUGUCCUAAAUUAC